AAAAAAACAAACAAAACUCAGAAAAGCAAACAGACCCAAAAACGGAAAUCUCCCCCCAAACGCCCCCGCGUCUCCCUCACGUUCUCUCCCUCGUCUCCUUCACCCGUCCCUCUCUCUCCAAACUCCCUCCCUCGCGCGAACCCAACGCGAGUCAAUCGCGUCAUUUUUCUCUCCCUUGCUAGUACGCUUCGCAGCAGAAGGGCAGACUGGAUUUCAGCUCUGCCAAACGUGAUUCGUCCUUGCAGCGUGGGAUUGCGCAACGUAGCUUGCAAGGACGUCGAUUUCAUCUCGACCCUCCAACUCUUUCCCAUUUGAAUCGUUCUUUUGGAUAAGAUUUGAGGGUUUUCGGAUUUGAAUUGGAAAUGGGCCUAAAAGUAGCGUCCAGCCCUCUUCAUCCAAAAAAACCCUAAAUUUUCCCUUCUAUAUAAACCCACACCUUCUUCAGGGUAAGGGGUUAGAUUUUUCGGGGUUAGAAAUUGGGUUGGGAGAUUUUUAGGUUGGAAAAUUCCGGGUUGAAAUUUCUUUCGCCUUUUCUGUUUGCUCCGAGAAAACUUAAAAGGAAAAUCGGGUUGGGAAGUUCAUCUUAGGCGCCUUAAAGAUUUUCUGCUGUUCUUCUCCUGUCCUGUUUUGAGAGAAACGUUCUGUUUCAUUAACAGUAUUCGAUUGCGGUGUCCGUCGAAACGUCGUAGCAGUCUCAGCGCGUUCUCUUUCGUCUGAGGGUGAAGUCGCUGCUCGGUGUCGUCCCUAUUUCGCUGCCAUCGAAGAGGUAAAUUCUUUCAUAUUCAUAUGUUUUCCUCAUUCGUGUGUGUUUAUUGACUGACAUGGAGAAUUUGGUUGUGGCUGCUUGUGGGAAUUCUGAUUUGUUUCCCGUCAAAUCAUUAAGUGUUGAAAGUGUGAUCUUCUUUGUUGAUUUGAAUCCAUUGUUUGGUUGUUAAGCCCUCAAAUUGGUAUUCCCUUUGCUGCUUGCAUCCUGUCUCAAACAUUAGACGUGAUGUAAAGAAUGCUUACGGGUUUCUAUAUUUUCAACUCUGUUUCGGCCUAUUGGUUUUGAUUUUCCCUCGUUUGGGUAGCACUGUUCCAGCACUAUUAAACUGCUUAUAGGCUGCGUAGUGUAUUUAGUAGUGUAUUUAGUCGCAGAGAGGCAUAUUAGGUUUAUUUGUCGUCUCGCUCGUCGGAUAGCUUUGUUCUUUGCUUGGUUCGUCGCUGCUGUAUUAAAAUUUGUUGGUUUGAAUGGAGCUAGCCAGUAGGUUAACGCGCCAAGUGAUUUACUUAUGCGAGAUAUUCGUCUCCGAGUACCCAUGAAUGCAUAGGAUGGCGCGUGAGCUCGCUUUGUGUUUUCUUUUGGUUUUUAUUCUACCUUACUGUCGGGUCUUCUUUGUGUGGUAUUGAAAGUUGUAACUUGAUUAAAGUUCAUUCCUUCUGAUGAGCAUCUCUGGGGUCUGCUGCUAGACAUUCAAAGGUCUCAAAGCUGCAUUCGCGUUUUAUCUAUUUAGCAACUUAAGCAACUCCAUGAUUUAUUCUUUUUCUUGCUAAAGUAUUGAAGUCGUGUAUUUCUUUAGUUUUGUUAAAAUCCUGUUCGCAGAAAGGUGAUUUACAUACCUUAUAAGCAUGCUUACUAUAUUUUAAAGCUUGGGUGGGAAUGAUUUGAUCAGCUUGUCUUGUUUGUUUCUGUUUUAGAUAAACUCAUUAUAGUUGAAGUAGUUGUUUCAACAUGAUUAUCAUUAGUUCCCUGCCUAGCAGUUCUUUAGGAUUUUUGUAAGCAUAAAUUUAUUUUAAUUGAUUCCUCCUUUCGUCAUUAUUCAUAUAUGUGGUUUGUUCCCAUAGCUUCGUAGUUGUUCAAGUACUGCAAUAAGUUUAUUUGCCUUUGUUGCUCCAUCUUGACUAUCUUGUGUGGAUAUCCUUAAUUUGCGUGAUUCCUUAAACGUCCGUUACGCCACCUUUUUUUUUUACUUUAAAGUUUUACUCAUCUACGUGUUAUUCUAUGGUCCCUUUAAAUGAAAUUACUUGUCUAGUUGCACUUUUGGUUUAAAAUGUAUUUGUAGGUUGGUUCAUUCAUCUUGCAUUUGUAUUAUUGGAUCAGAGAGUUGACUCACUUCUCUGUUUUAUAUAUGCAUGAAAUCUGCUCGAGUCCAUGCGAACUUCUUCCUUAUCUUUGCAUUUUGGUUUGGUCGUGGAGGCCCAGUACUCUUGUCCGUCGAGUCAACCCAUCAAGACCGAAGUGCAAUUUCAGAAUUGCGUAGAUUGAAGAAAAUCCAAAAGCGGAUUAGGAGACUUUUUCUCUAUUUUUUAUUCCUUCGUAUUUAUUUGUAAUGGGCAUAAGCCCUUGUUGCUCUCCCCUUUUAUUUUUUUUAUUUCAUUUUGUAUGUUUAGACUAGGACAGGUGAAUGGGUCAAAACCCAAAAACAGGUGGGUCCAAAAUUCGGUCAAGGCGAACAGAACUUGAAUCUGGACCCAAAAUCUCUCUCUCUCUCUCCCUCUCUCUUUAUUAUUUGCUUACGUUUUUUUUGUUUACUCGAAUGCCGUUAGUUGAGGGUUAGAAUAACUCCAAUCCCAUCAAAACGCCUUUCUAUUUUUCAAACUUAAAACUAAAACUAAGUCUUAAAGCGAUAAAUAUUUCCAAUUUGUAAAUUCGCCUAAGUUAAAUUCUAAUAAGUUCAAAUAACAAAAGAUUCGCAAACGUUAAAAUAUAAUAGUCAAAUUGUUAAACGCCGAAAAACUGUAGUUAGUGGAGCGUCUUAGGUGCUUUUUCGAAACCUUCCUAAGACGCUAAUAGGAAUCCCGAACCCUUAAAAGUUUUCAAACGAUUUUCUGUUUAUUAUUUGAAAACAAGUUUUUCUUAAUUUUUCUCAAAAUUAAGUGGCGACUCCUAAAAGUCGAAAAUAUCUUUAAAACAAAACAAACUCAUUUCGAAAUUAUAUUUCCGAUACAACAUAUAUUAUAUUUCUUGCUCAAGUAUCUAUAGUUAAUUAAAUAUAUUAAUAACCUAAAAAUAAGAUAAGUAACUUUAAAUAGCAAGUUAAUUACAACAAUUAUAACAUGUAGGGUGUGUUUGGCAUGAAGGAAAAUGUUUUCCAUGGAAAAUGUUUUCCUAGAAAAUGUUUUUCUAGAAAACAAGUAGAUUUUGGACUUAUUUUCUCAUGUUUGGUUGGUGAGUAGAAAAUAUUUUUUGGAAAUGAUUUUUAGUGUUUGAUUUAUGAAUGAAUAAUAUUUUUGAGGAACAUCUUUUAUUUUUACUAGAG
rnacentral:lncRNA from 1 species